CCCUUAGAGUUUGAUCCUGGCUCAGAAUCAACGCUGGCGGCGUGCCUAACACAUGCAAGUCGAACGCGAAAGCCCCGCAAGGGGUAAGUAGAGUGGCAAACGGGUGAGUAACACGUGGGUGACCUGCCUUCGAGUGGGGGAUAACGUCCCGAAAGGGACGCUAAUACCGCAUGACAUCCUGCCUUUGAAGAGGCGGAGAUCAAAGCUGGGGAUCGCAAGACCUGGCGCUUGAAGAGGGGCCCGCGCCUGAUUAGCUAGUUGGUGGGGUAACGGCUCACCAAGGCGACGAUCAGUAGCCGGCCUGAGAGGGCGGACGGCCACACUGGGACUGAGACACGGCCCAGACUCCUACGGGAGGCAGCAGUGGGGAAUUGUUCGCAAUGGGCGCAAGCCUGACGACGCAACGCCGCGUGGAGGAUGAAGAUCUUCGGGUCGUAAACUCCUUUCGAUCGAGACGAACGGCCCCUGGGCUAAUCACCAGGGGAGUGACGGUACCGAGAGAAGAAGCCCCGGCUAACUCCGUGCCAGCAGCCGCGGUAAUACGGGGGGGGCAAGCGUUGUUCGGAAUUACUGGGCGUAAAGGGCUCGUAGGCGGCCAACUAAGUCGGACGUGAAAUCCCUCGGCUUAACCGGGGAACUGCGUCCGAUACUGGAUGGCUUGAGUUUGGGAGAGGGAUGCGGAAUUCCAGGUGUAGCGGUGAAAUGCGUAGAUAUCUGGA
rnacentral:rRNA from 1 species